rnacentral:rRNA from 1 species
GGGACACGUGGUAUCCUGUCUGAAUAUGGGGGGACCAUCCUCCAAGGCUAAAUACUCCUGACUGACCGAUAGUGAACCAGUACCGUGAGGGAAAGGCGAAAAGAACCCCGGCGAGGGGAGUGAAAAAGAACCUGAAACCGUGUACGUACAAGCAGUGGGAGCACGCUUAGGCGUGUGACUGCGUACCUUUUGUAUAAUGGGUCAGCGACUUAUAUUCUGUAGCAAGGUUAACCGAAUAGGGGAGCCGAAGGGAAACCGAGUCUUAACUGGGCGUUAAGUUGCAGGGUAUAGACCCGAAACCCGGUGAUCUAGCCAUGGGCAGGUUGAAGGUUGGGUAACACUAACUGGAGGACCGAACCGACUAAUGUUGAAAAAUUAGCGGAUGACUUGUGGCUGGGGGUGAAAGGCCAAUCAAACCGGGAGAUAGCUGGUUCUCCCCGAAAGCUAUUUAGGUAGCGCCUCGUGAAUUCAUCUCCGGGGGUAGAGCACUGUUUCGGCAAGGGGGUCAUCCCGACUUACCAACCCGAUGCAAACUGCGAAUACCGGAGAAUGUUAUCACGGGAGACACACGGCGGGUGCUAACGUCCGUCGUGAAGAGGGAAACAACCCAGACCGCCAGCUAAGGUCCCAAAGUCAUGGUUAAGUGGGAAACGAUGUGGGAAGGCCCAGACAGCCAGGAUGUUGGCUUAGAAGCAGCCAUCAUUUAAAGAAAGCGUAAUAGCUCACUGGUCGAGUCGGCCUGCGCGGAAGAUGUAACGGGGCUAAACCAUGCACCGAAGCUGCGGCAGCGACGCUUAUGCGUUGUUGGGUAGGGGAGCGUUCUGUAAGCCUGCGAAGGUGUGCUGUGAGGCAUGCUGGAGGUAUCAGAAGUGCGAAUGCUGACAUAAGUAACGAUAAAGCGGGUGAAAAGCCCGCUCGCCGGAAGACCAAGGGUUCCUGUCCAACGUUAAUCGGGGCAGGGUGAGUCGACCCCUAAGGCGAGGCCGAAAGGCGUAGUCGAUGGGAAACAGGUUAAUAUUCCUGUACUUGGUGUUACUGCGAAGGGG